AUGCGAUUUUUCCAAGCUUUCUAUGACCAUUGCAGUGACCUGAGCGGCAUCAACACUGCCAAUAUUGUGCUUCUUCCAAAGAAAGAGAACCCAACAGAUAUCCGGGAUUUCAGGCCCAUUGCUUUGGUCCAUAGUAUACCCAAGCUUACAACGAAGGUUUUAGCAGUCCGGCUUCAACGUAUCAUCCCAAGCCUCAUACACCCCUUACAAUCUGGUUUUCUGCCUGGAAGAUGCAUAGCUGAAAAUUUCGCUUUGGCAGCAGAACUGGUUCAGCAGGCAAAAAAGAGAAAAAAGCCAAUGUUAGUGCUCAAGCUAGAUUUUCAGAAAGCUUUUGAUAGUGUUAGCUGGGAUGCUUUGAAGCUCAUACUCACAGCCAGAGGUUUUGGGAGCAGAUGGGUCAGAUGGAUACAUGACGUCCUAUCAACUAGUUUGUCCAGGAUAGUUAUCAAUGGAUCUGCCAGAGAGAAAAUCAUGUUAAGGAGUGGUCUAAGGCAAGGGGACGCCCUCUCUCCCUACCUCUUCAUCCUGGCAGCCGACGUUUUGCAACAGCUCUGCCAAAAGGAACACCAAGCGGGAAACCUCAACCUUUUGGGGGCGAUGGCCCCUUCCCGCUCCUGCAGUAUGAUGACGACAUGCUGA
rnacentral:rRNA from 1 species